rnacentral:misc_RNA from 1 species
UAAUAAUAAUAAUACCAACUCUGUCGAUUGAAUUUGAUAACUCAAUUCAAUUCAAAAAAUAAUUUGAGAACUCAGAUGUCAAUAUGAAAAUGGAAAAGAAAAAAAGGAAGAAGGAACUCUAAUGAGUAAAUAAAAGAAACAGAGGGUGAAACAUCUUGCAGCUAUCCCAAAAACUUUCUUACAUGGUUUAGCCAAGGAUUGCUUCAGAUUGAAUUGGUCAUGCUCUGUUCACAGUAACAGGGUCAUAGGCAAUGGGCAUCCAAUACCUCAUGAAUCAAAGAGACGCAUAGAUUUGAUUGAAAGCUCUAACCACUUAUAUAAACAUUUAUUCAGUAACUGAUAAUGAACUGCACAGCACACAAUAUAUGAAGUUUAAGCUUUUACAGUAUAAUCCCAGACUCUUUUCAUUUCCUAUGACAGUAACAAUACGACAUACAAGAAGGGGUAAAGAUGAGCAGAGUUUCUUAUUAUCUAUCAUAAAUGCAAAACCACAAAAACCAAUACCAAUAGAAAGACAGAUGCUAAACAGAAAAUUAAAGAUGCAAAGCACGCCAUUCUUUCAAAAUUGUUUCUUCGACUUCUUUGUUGAUGGGCCUAAAUUGGCUGUGAAGUUCUAAUCUGCUGCUUGGUGUUAUCAGUGGGAAGCUGAGCAGAAGUUUCUGGCAAUACUACAGCAGCAGCUGUAGUCAUAGUUUGGUAAUGAGCAGCCAUUGUUGGUGCAAGAGGCUGAGUAUAGUAUAUCUGGGCAUGAGCAGGGUCUGCAAACUCAUAAGCAUAAUUAGCAGGGCUGGCGGAGGUAGGAGCAAGAGACUGAGAGGGGUGAUGAACUUGAGAAUAGCCAACAUACUGCUGUUGAUGCUGGCUAGGAGGGACUUGAACUAAUUGUGGUGUACCAGUAGCUGCUGUCCUAUACAUGCCUGCAUUGGCCAUUUCAGGUUUAGUAACAGGGGCAUUUCUCAUGGGAUUAUAAGUUGCUGGAGGAGGCCCCAAGGUGGGAUUGGAAGCUGUUUGGGGCCGGGUAGAAGGGACAGUAGGUGUGGGUUCACUGAUACUAGAUUGCUGCACAGGCAUAUUAUAAGCUGGGGUUUGCCUUGCUGGUACAUAAUACACUGGGUAUUGCUGAUCAAGCUGGUGA